AGUGAACGCUGGCGGUAGGCUUAACACAUGCAAGUCGAACGGCAGCACAGUAAGAGCUUGCUCUUACGGGUGGCGAGUGGCGGACGGGUGAGGAAUACAUCGGAAUCUACUCUUUCGUGGGGGAUAACGUAGGGAAACUUACGCUAAUAUCGCAUACGACCUACGGGUGAAAGCAGGGGAUCUUCUGACCUUGUGCGAUUGAAUGAGCCGAUGCUGGAUUAGCUAGUUGGCGGGGUAAAGGCCCACCAAGGCGACGAUCCGUAGCUGGUCUGAGAGGAUGGUCGGCGACAUUAGAGCGGGACCAGGGACAAGGCGACUGAGAGAGGCAGCAGUGGGGUAUAUGAGACAGUAGGCGCGAGCAUGAUACAAUGGGAGCGCGUGGGAGGAAGAGGCCUUCGGGGUGUGAUGACCUUUUGUUGGGAAAAAAAAGCAGCAGGUUAAUACCCCGCUGUAGUGACGGUACCGGAAAAAUAAGCACCGGCUAACUUCGUG
rnacentral:rRNA from 1 species